rnacentral:snoRNA from 1 species
ACUCUCUCACUCUGCAUAGUUGCUUAGUUACCCACGUGACUGACUUUCGUAUGGGAAGAGAGGAAAAAGAGUUCCUCAAUACCGUGGAUCGGCCUCACAGCAGCCUCUUUUGCCUAGAGGAGCACCACAGGU